UUCUUCAUGGGAGAGGUGCUUCAGCCCCCUGAUCAUUUUAGUGGCCUUCCUCUGGACCAGUUCCAAGAGCUCCACAUGGAACUUUAGAAUAUUAGUCAGAAUCCUUGAUCUAUGGUUGGAAACAGAAGCAACAUUGGGCUGGGAAAGGUGCCAAGGUAUACUGAAAGAGGGGAGUAACUGCGAAUUGAGGUACAGAACAAAGAGAAGACACUUCCUCUCCAAAGCAGAGCUGCGUGCCCUCUGCGAGACAGCUUUAUCAUUGCUUGAGUCCCGCUGUGUAACAAUCAGGUGUGCCUUCCAGGUCUUGCCUCAUUAUUGUUGCAGACCUUAAUGCUUGCUACAAGAUUCAAAUGAUUUUUCACAUUUCACAAACAUUUGAGCUGAACUGUUACUUUUUUUGGUAAUGCUACUGAUUUACUCUUUUUUUUUUCCCUUGCUCUAGUUGUAUCUGCUCUGAAUAAGGCAUGGUGUGUGAACUGUUUUGCUUGUUCAACCUGCAACACUAAGUUAACGCUCAAAAAUAAAUUUGUUGAGUUUGAUAUGAAGCCUGUCUGCAAAAAGUGCUAUGAGAAGUUUCCUCUAGAGCUGAAGAAAAGGCUGAAGAAAUUAGCUGAAACUGUGGGAAGGAAGUGAAGACUUGUUCUGCUCUCCCCUUUCCUUAUGAAAAUGUUGUAUCUGUUACUUGGGAGGGCCUCUGAGGCUGUAAUCAGACAACAGAUUACAAUGCGUGCCUUUCGUCUUGAAAUGCUCCAUUCUCUCUGUGAGUACACGUACGAAUAGAGAUUUGUUGAUAAACAGACCACGCUUCUGUCAACUCACCUGAGAGGUUUCUGACCCUGAUAAUGCACCCAUACAAGAGGGCCAUUGAGCACAGUAAUCUCUGAGGAAUUUUAGGUUGAGAAAAUAUGCUUGUGAGUUCCUUGUGAAAGCACAUUGUGCAAACAGGCCCAACGUUAUGGGCAUGCAGUGUCAUUUAUAUUAAUGAAAAUAUCAGCAUGCAAAUGAAGCAUGCAUACAAAAUUCCCCGUGGCCUGGGCAAGAAACCAAACAUACCUCAUUCCCCGGAGAAAAUAAUGCUUAGAUUUCAGGUCCAAUAGUCCCACUGAGGAGCCUUGUUGAAGGUGGUUGAAAAGUACCGCAUUGCUAAACACAGUCACUGUACAAAUGCCCUGCUUCCCAUAGGUUGUACUUACACGCUGAAUCUCUGUACAUCAGCCUUAGCAUGAAAUAUCUGUAUGAAGUCUAAUUCCCACUGCAAGAAACAAGUGUACUCAGAUCUACUUGAAUUUUGCUGUAUUCCAUUCAGAUUAACACAUUAACUUUUAUAUAAGCUCUUGCCUUUGAUUUCCUUUUUGUGCCUUAUUCUGCCGGACCAUAUGUAACAGUGUUCCAUUCAAUAUAUAUCUAUAGUUUUAUUUUUAUUUCUUAUUUUUGUGCAGAAACUAUGUAUGAGGUAUUUUCAAAAGAUAACAAAAUUUGCCUUAAUUAUCCAGGAUGCAAGAGGAACUUUGCUUCGGGUGUGAACACCUGAGGUUGAAGUUUAGCUUCUAGGCUUCCCUGACUUCUGGAACAGCAAUGAAAAUGCGUAUUUGAGUUAACUGGCAAUAUUACUUUUACACUGUGAGUGUAAAUAUGUGAAGUUUGAUCCUACUGGGAUCUGUUUCUUCAGCCAUCUUCAAGAACUGUGCUCACAAAUCGUCAGAAUUCACUGUAGUAUGCUUGUGCUUGCUUUAUACUGUUGACUUCUGUCCAUGGAAGUUUGCUUUUCCCUUUUCUGUCAAAAAUACCAUUACUUAGGAAUUCUUGAUGGUACUGUUAUCAAGUAUGCAAACCUUUUUUUUUUUUUUUUUCAUAUUAGAAACACAAUUUUUAUAUCAUUACUUCAUAGCAAGCAAAAUUUUCUUUCCUGUUUAUGGAAAAACAAAUGCUUUGGAACAUCUUUCCAGUGUCAUCAAUAAAGGCUAAUGUUA